rnacentral:rRNA from 1 species
UGGGGAAUAUUGGACAAUGGGCGCAAGCCUGAUCCAGCCAUGCCGCGUGAGUGAUGAAGGCCCUAGGGUUAAAGCUCUUUCACCGGUGAAGAUAAUGACGGUAACCGGAGAAGAAGCCCCGGCUAACUUCGUGCCAGCAGCCGCGGUAAUACGAAGGGGGCUAGCGUUGUUCGGAUUUACUGGGCGUAAAGCGCACGUAGGCGGACUUUUAAGUCAGGGGUGAAAUCCCGGGGCUCAACCCCGGAACUGCCUUUGAUACUGGAAGUCUUGAGUAUGGUAGAGGUGAGUGGAAUUCCGAGUGUAGAGGUGAAAUUCGUAGAUAUUCGGAGGAACACCAGUGGCGAAGGCGGCUCACUGGACCAUUACUGACGCUGAGGUGCGAAAGCGUGGGGAGCAAACAGG